AUAACGACUCUCGGCAACGGAUAUCUCGGCUCUCGCAUCGAUGAAGAACGUAGCGAAAUGCGAUACUUGGUGUGAAUUGCAGAAUCCCGUGAACCAUCGAGUCUUUGAACGCAAGUUGCGCCCGAAGCCAUCAGGUUGAGGGCACGUCUGCCUGGGCGU
rnacentral:rRNA from 8 species